rnacentral:rRNA from 1 species
UACGUAGGGACCAAGCGUUGUUCGGAUUUACUGGGCGUAAAGAGCGUGUAGGCGGCUCGCUAAGUCUUGCGUGAAAUCUCGGGGCUCAACCCCGAGCGGUCGUGAGAAACUGGCGGGCUAGAGUGCGGGAGAGGAGAGUGGAAUUCCUGGUGUAGCGGUGAAAUGCGCAGAUAUCAGGAGGAACACCGGUGGCGAAGGCGGCUCACUGGCCCGAUACUGACGCUGAGGCACGAAAGCGUGGGGAGCAAACAGG